rnacentral:rRNA from 1 species
GAGCCCGUGAAUCCGGGCGACAGAAUUCAGAAUCGACGGGCGUAAAACCCCGUCUAUUUGAUAUUUCUGUCGCCGCGUAUGCACGGACGUCGCGACCUGUUCGACGUCGGUCUUCCCCAGGAACCGUGUUCGAGUUUGGUGUCGGAGUGCGCGUUCGCGUGUGCUUCAGCGGCAAAGACGCGGACUUCUGGCCGACUCGUCGGACAGUAGGUCAACAAGGGUGGCCGGCGUCGCCCUCGAGUGACGCCGGUGCCGGUCAGCGACGAAUCUUCGGGCCUCUUUCCGACC